AGGCUUAAUACAUGCAAGUCGAGGGGCAGCGGGAGUAGCAAUACUUGCCGGCGACCGGCGCACGGGUGCGUAACACGUAUGUAAUCUCGCCCAUCACAGGAGGAUAGCCCGGAGUAAAUUCGGAUUAAUACUCCAUAAUAGAAGAUAAAGCUAUUUUAUUUUCUUGAAAGUUCCGACGGUGAUGGAUGAACAUGCGACUGAUUAGUUUGUUGGUGAGGUAACGGCUCACCAAGACUACGAUCAGUAGGGGUACUGAGAGGUUAAACCCCCCACACUGGUACUGAGACACGGACCAGACUCCUACGGGAGGCAGCAGUAAGGAAUAUUGGACAAUGGCCGCAAGGCUGAUCCAGCCAUGCCGCGUGCAGGAAGACGGACCUAUGGUUUGUAAACUGUCUUUUGAACGGGAACGAAAACCCCCCUACGUGUAGGGGGCUGAUAGUACUGUUAGAAUAAGCAUCGGCUAACUUCGUG
rnacentral:rRNA from 1 species